UGUUUCGGCUAGGGGGCCAUCCCGGCUUACCAACCCGAUGCAAACUGCGAAUACCGGAGAAUGUUAUCACGGGAGACACACGGCGGGUGCUAACGUCCGUCGUGAAGAGGGAAACAACCCAGACCGCCAGCUAAGGUCCCAAAGUCAUGGUUAAGUGGGAAACGAUGUGGGAAGGCCCAGACAGCCAGGAUGUUGGCUUAGAAGCAGCCAUCAUUUAAAGAAAGCGUAAUAGCUCACUGGUCGAGUCGGCCUGCGCGGAAGAUGUAACGGGGCUAAACCAUGCACCGAAGCUGCGGCAGCGACACUGUGUGUUGUUGGGUAGGGGAGCGUUCUGUAAGCCUGUGAAGGUGUGUCGUGAGGCAUGCUGGAGGUAUCAGAAGUGCGAAUGCUGACAUAAGUAACGAUAAAGCGGGUGAAAAGCCCGCUCGCCGGAAGACCAAGGGUUCCUGUCCAACGUUAAUCGGGGCAGGGUGAGUCGACCCCUAAGGCGAGGCCGAAAGGCGUAGUCGAUGGGAAACGGGUUAAUAUUCCCGUACUUGGUGUUACUGCGAAGGGGGGACGGAGAAGGCUAUGUUGGCCGGGCGACGGUUGUCCCGGUUUAAGCGUGUAGGUGUGUGUUCCAGGUAAAUCCGGUUCACUUUAACACUGAGGCGUGACGACGAGGCACUACGGUGCUGAAGCAACAAAUGCCCUGCUUCCAGGAAAAGCCUCUAAGCAUCAGGUAACAUCAAAUCGUACCCCAAACCGACACAGGUGGUCAGGUAGAGAAUACCAAGGCGCUUGAGAGAACUCGGGUGAAGGAACUAGGCAAAAUGGUGCCGUAACUUCGGGAGAAGGCACGCUGACACGUAGGUGAAGUGAUUUACUCAUGGAGCUGAAGUCAGUCGAAGAUACCAGCUGGCUGCAACUGUUUAUUAAAAACACAGCACUGUGCAAACACGAAAGUGGACGUAUACGGUGUGACGCCUGCCCGGUGCCGGAAGGUUAAUUGAUGGGGUCAGCGCAAGCGAAGCUCCUGAUCGAAGCCCCGGUAAACGGCGGCCGUAACUAUAACGGUCCUAAGGUAGCGAAAUUCCUUGUCGGGUAAGUUCCGACCUGCACGAAUGGCGUAAUGAUGGCCAGGCUGUCUCCACCCGAGACUCAGUGAAAUUGAACUCGCUGUGAAGAUGCAGUGUACCCGCGGCAAGACGGAAAGACCCCGUGAACCUUUACUAUAGCUUGACACUGAACAUUGAGCCUUGAUGUGUAGGAUAGGUGGGAGGCUUUGAAGUGUGGACGCCAGUCUGCAUGGAGCCGACCUUGAAAUACCACCCUUUAAUGUUUGAUGUUCUAACGUGGACCCGUGAUCCGGGUUGCGGACAGUGUCUGGUGGGUAGUUUGACUGGGGCGGUCUCCUCCUAAAGAGUAACGGAGGAGCACGAAGGUUGGCUAAUCCUGGUCGGACAUCAGGAGGUUAGUGCAAUGGCAUAAGCCAGCUUGACUGCGAGCGUGACGGCGCGAGCAGGUGCGAAAGCAGGUCAUAGUGAUCCGGUGGUUCUGAAUGGAAGGGCCAUCGCUCAACGGAUAAAAGGUACUCCGGGGAUAACAGGCUGAUACCGCCCAAGAGUUCAUAUCGACGGCGGUGUUUGGCACCUCGAUGUCGGCUCAUCACAUCCUGGGGCUGAAGUAGGUCCCAAGGGUAUGGCUGUUCGCCAUUUAAAGUGGUACGCGAGCUGGGUUUAGAACGUCGUGAGACAGUUCGGUCCCUAUCUGCCGUGGGCGCUGGAGAACUGAGGGGGGCUGCUCCUAGUACGAGAGGACCGGAGUGGACGCAUCACUGGUGUUCGGGUUGUCAUGCCAAUGGCACUGCCCGGUAGCUAAAUGCGGAAGAGAUAAGUGCUGAAAGCAUCUAAGCACGAAACUUGCCCCGA
rnacentral:rRNA from 1 species